AGGACGAACGCUGGCGGCGUGCUUAACACAUGCAAGUCGAACGCUCGUAGCAAUACGGGAGUGGCAGACGGGUGAGUAACGCGUGGGAACAUACCCUCCGGUUCGGAAUAGCUCAGGGAAACUUGGAUUAAUACCGGAUACGGCCGAGAGGCGAAAGAUUUAUCGCCGGAGGAUUGGCCCGCGUUCGAUUAGCUAGUUGGUGAGGUAACGGCUCACCAAGGCGAUGAUCGAUAGCUGGUCUGAGAGGAUGAUCAGCCACAUUGGGGACUGAGACACGGCCCAAACUCCUACGGGAGGCAGCAGUGGGGAAUAUUGGACAAUGGGCGCAAGCCUGAUCCAGCCAUGCCGCGUGAGUGAUGACGGCCUUAGGGUUGUAAAGCUCUUUCGCUCGGGACGAUAAUGACGGUACCGAGAUAAGAAGCCCCGGCUAACUUCGUGCCAGCAGCCGC
rnacentral:rRNA from 1 species